CCUGUAUUUCUCUGAUGUGAUAUCCUUGUAAUGUGGGGAAGUCAUGGCCUAGUGGUUAGAGAGUUUGACUCCUAACCCUAAGGUUGUGGGUUCGAGUCUCUGGCUGGCAAUACCACGACUGAGGUGCCCUUGAGCAAGGCACCGAACCCCCAACUGCUCACCAAGCAGUCUGAAUCAUCUACAGGGUCUCUCCACGCUGGCACAGGGGCAGGGGUCUCUUGAAAGGGCUUACUUAGAUGCACGAGGCCAGUAUCAGAUGCAGGAGCAGCAACAAGGCGCGCUUGUCACCUUUGACCCAGACAGGGACCUAGAAGGGCAGAUCUUCAGGUCAGGGAUGCGAUUGGAAGAGCUGAAGGAGUGGCUGGAGCAAGCAGAACAGAACAAACCCAUUUCUGAACCUCCUUCAGAUGUGCUUUCGUUGUCCAUUCUGGAGACCGAACCUCUGCCUCUGAGUCCACUGUCUGCUGCCCAUCCUGAGGCUUGUGUUGGCGUGGAGGUUAGUUCAGUUAGCGGAGAGAGUGAUGCAGACAGAGAGGAAGAGGAGAUCCUCCCAUUUCUUCUUCAUCCCCUUUAUGACAAACACCAGCGUGUGGGGAAAGACUUCUGUAAGCUCAUGGACUGGCAGGCAGCAGCAGAUUGUGUCCCUCCCUCCGGCCCAUCUGUCAGGUCACAGGUGUGUGACUCUAUGGAAACACACCCAGAGGCUCUUUGCCACUCCUCGGUCUUGCCAGGGCAACUGAGCAGGGAAAGGAAAGCAGCAGGAAACAGGAAAACUCAAAGCAGUAGCCUGACCAGCCUAGCAGAGAGAACAGAACCCAGAACUAUGGGCUUAAAAGCAAAGGCCAAGACUGUCAGAGCAUCUCCUCUGGAUGGGGUCAAGUCUCCAGAGACAGACAGUGGCUUCAUGGGCUCUGAGCUCAGUCAGCUCACUCCUGCUGUACACAGUCCUCUCCAGCAGAGGGCAGUGGUGAGGUUUUCUCCAGUUCCAUCAGGCCGUCUGGCCCACACACAAAGAACAUAG
rnacentral:lncRNA from 12 species